CAAGAUACCUGGCAGGGGAGAUACCAUGAUCAAGAAGGCGGUUCACCCAGGGCGAGGCUCAGCCAUUACACUAUGACUGUGCUGACCCCUGCAAAUUCCCCAAAUGUCGGAAUCUUGACUGCAUAGUUUCUGGUAGUGGGGGACUGCGUUCGCCCUCUCCCCUG
ensembl:snRNA U1 U1 spliceosomal RNA